UCAUCAGAAUAAUGUUCAUUGUCAAUUGUAUUGUUUCCCAAUAUAGGUAGUAUUUAAGAUUACUGCACUUGAGAAAUGAAAUCAUAUCGCUAUUCCGCAACAAUGUCUCUCGCGGGUCUCCCGAACUAGUGAAUUGCUUUCUAUAGAGCAUGACAUCCGCCUGAUAUGUUGCAAUGAUCUCCCUUCCCGAGUGUCAUAAAAUAUUACUGGUUAUCGAAGGCAUUCAGUCUGAAUGAUAAUCGUCUUGUUAGGGUAAUGCGGUCCUUAUGUUCGUUGAAUAUGUACAUUUGAGACGAGAUAAUUGUGCGAAUCGAUAGUAAUUACGGUACUUACCUUAAUAAGGAACUAGACCCAGCGCAUCGACAGAACUGUGACUGGUGAACUUCUAUUCACCAGGGGAAAAAAUAGAGAAUGAUGAGACAGACAGGAAGGAAAGAACUUAUAGGAUCUUGUUUUAGAGACUGUGUUGGUGGUGAUGUACUCCUUCUACAAUGCAUGGGAUUAUACUCAAUGGGUAAUAUUUUUGGGGAUAAUGAACCACGGUGGUACUAUUGGGAAGUUAUACCAUAUAGUAUUGGACUGGCAGCAGUAACAUUUGCUGUUAUAUGCGAUAUACGUAAUGUGCAACACGCCGCUCAAAUAAGUUUUAUGUUAUCCAUUGAAGUGGCUGCAGCUUCAUUCACAGCUAUUUUAUCGGUGUUUAAAGGAUAUCGAAUAUUCUUCCGUCGAAAGGAGCUUUACCACAUAUUGAAAAGUUGCCAACGGCGAUGGAUGCUCCAAACAACACGGGAUGCCAUAACACAGACUGCCAUAGAAAAUGCUAAAAAUGCACGGCUGCUCAGGAUGUGUUAUGCUGUAGCUAUCAUGGGGACCCUUGAAUCUUAUAACUUGCGUCCUUAUAUAUUAUACCUCAAAUUUCGUGUUUCUGAGACGAAUGAUUCCUUCGAUUUUUCACAAACUGUUUAUCCGGCUUAUUAUCCAUUCAUAUUGAAGUCAUUUACACAGUAUUUUGUGUUUACCACUCUGGAGCACAUGAGCUUAUAUUUCUUCGCUCUCUGGUGGAUAUCAGCGGACUGUCUUUUUGCACAAUUUAACACAUAUUUGGCUAUUCAAUUCAACAUACUCGCCACUGACAUUCGUUGCAUAGACACAACUACCGAGUCCGCAAGUCCGGUAAAUGCGGUGAAAAUCAUGAAAGGAUUGAAGAAAAUUAUUCGCGAGCAUGUUAAAUUAUUCUCAUAUGUUCAUGCGGUAGAAGACUGGUACAAUCCAAUAAUUUUCGCUACUAUAUUAAUGAAUGGACUGAGCUUAUGCAGCCUUCUGUACAGCCUCCAAUAUGUAUUUCAUUAUUUAUGCAAUGGGCAUCACUCCAUUAUUGCUAUAAUUUUGAUCUUUCAGAUUAAUCGAUCAACAUUUUUACAGAGAAUUGCAGAACAUAAUUGGAAGGACGCCAUAAAAAAUGCCAGUCAUGUAACUGCGAUAAUUAUACAAACUCUUCUUUAUUGUUCAUAUGCUCAGCGUUUAAGUGAUGAGGUAAUACAAUAUAUGAGAAUGAAGGAUACCACGCAAAGAGAAACAACUUUGUGAAUGCAUAGCCAUGCCCGUCGGGUUUACAUGUCCUAGACUACCUCGUCCACUCAGCAAUACUUCUCUCAUGAUUUUUGGCCCCUGGCCAUUUGGAAAUAACAGAAUAUACUGAAAAAACAAAUCAGUCAAAGAUUUAUUUUAUAUUCUUGAUAAAAUAACUUUUUGGAAGGUAUUUGUCAAAGACGGGCAUUUUCAAGAACUCCAAGGGCCGAGAAUCGAUUGUUAUUAAUCGAAUGAUAAAAAUGAUCAAUGUUUAUGCGCAUCACAUCUGGUGAAACUAUUGGAGUGUUUGGCGCGUCUUCCCAUGCUCAUUUAUUUGUUUAUAAUUUCCUGUUAUUUUCUCCGAAAGGACAAUAUAAUUCAAUUUUUCGUGUCACAGACGUAUUUGUACAAAUGGUCAAUCCGAUGGAAUUUCGAAAUAAGGAUGGAUACGCAUUGGAAAAAAGGGUUGUUUAAAAAAAGAAAUCAUGCCGUGGAAAAACGUCACAUCACAAUACUGAAAGCGCAAAAUAAUUUAAAUAAUUUGCAUAAGACAUUCCAAAUUUUCAACUUCAGGUUAAUGGGUUCCGCCAAGCGGUUUACGGAUGUUCGUGGAUAAACUUUAAUGUACCAACGAAGACCCUAAUCCUACUUUUAAUGAUUUACACCGAGCGUGAAUACACAUUCUCAGCGUACGGAUUGUUUUAUUUAAAUAUGCGUCAGGUCACUACGAUAUUCAGUACUGCAAUGCGAUUUUUCACAAUAUUACGCAAUCUCACCUAAGUAACAUUCUCUAAUCCAAUAAAUAAACUGGUUGGGGUAAAAUUUCCUACUAAAUUUGUGCUAAAGUCCUAGAAUUAAAUCCUGACGGACCUGAUUGUUGAGAAAUAAGAAGCAAUUAUGACAAUUGAGCCAGCAACAUUGAGCAAGACAAAACAUUCUUCGCUUCUCGUCUUGUAGCUGAUCACCUUGGAAUGGUUUUUUCGAAUUAUUAUUAUUAAGAUUUUCUCUGUAUAUAGAUAUCAAAACUCACACCGCGAUGCAAAUAUCAACAGCUUUGAUUUCCACCAGCAGGGUACACUCACCGACUAAUUGUUGAAGAAUUAUUCUUGUUUCAUGUAGCACAAAAUCUUGGAAAUGAAAGUGGCUGAUCAUAAAAUUAA